rnacentral:misc_RNA from 1 species
GGGGACCUUAUACUCUAAAAGAUCAUGAGGAGCUGAGUAGAAACACUAUAAAAGCUCUCUGCAAUGCAGAUAUAUCUGAAGGAAUAUUUGUUUCUGGGAAGGACGUUUCCCUUCCUGAGACCACUAUAAGGAAUCCCAGGAGGCCUCUUAGAAACCUCGGUGGAAAAAGAGUUUCACAGCGCCCGAUUCUUGCCUUUUUUGCUGGAAAUAUGCAUGGUCCAGUACGUCCCAAACUUCUCAAAUAUUGGAGGGACAAAGACGAAUCCAUAAGAAUUUACGGGCCUCUACCCCAUAGAGUCUCAAAAGUUAUGUCUUAUCCUGAACACAUGAAAUCAAGCAAGUACUGCCUUUGCCCGAUGGGUUAUGAAGUGAACAGCCCGAGGAUUGUCGAGGCAAUAUAUUAUGAGUGUGUUCCGGUUAUCAUUGCUGAUAAUUUCGCCCUUCCAUUUAGCGAAGUUUUAAACUGGACUGCUUUUUCUGUGGUUGUUUCUGAGAAAGAUAUUCCUAGGCUAAAGGAGAUUUUAUUAAGUAUACCUCUGCGACGUUACCAGGCCAUGCAAAAUAAUGUCAAGAUGUUGCAGAAGCAUUUUAUUUGGAACUCAACGCCGACUAGAUAUGAUCUGUUCCAUAUGAUUUUGCAUUCGAUUUGGUUUAGCAGACUAAACCAGAUUCAAGUAUCACAGAUAUCAUAGUUUCUUGAGUUGUGGUUGUCAAGUAUUGCAGAUAAUCAUAGUUCCUCGAGUUCUAGUUGUUCCAACUUGACUGUCUUCAUGACCUCGAGAGUUUAUCCGUUUGGAUUUGAUAUACAAAAACCUUUCAAGAGCUACAGCCGGUUUUGUUCUCUUAACUUGUGCACUUAUAUGCUUCUGCCUCUUGGCUAGAAAAAGAAGACUAGCUGGCUGUAGAAGGCUGCCAUUUU